rnacentral:rRNA from 1 species
GUGGGGAAUAUUGCGCAAUGGGGGCAACCCUGACGCAGCAAUACCGCGUGAGUGAAGAAGGUUUUCGGAUCGUAAAGCUCUGUUAUUGGGGAAGAAAAAAGACGGUACCCAAGAAGAAAGUCCCGGCUAACUACGUGCCAGCAGCCGCGGUAAUACGUAGGGGACAAGCGUUGUCCGGAUUUACUGGGCGUAAAGGGCACGCAGGCGGUUUUUUAAGUCAGAUGUGAAAGGUACCGGCUCAACCGGUGACAUGCAUUUGAAACUGAAAGACUUGAGUAUUGGAGAGGCAAGUGGAAUUCCUAGUGUAGCGGUGAAAUGCGUAGAUAUUAGGAGGAACACCGGUGGCGAAGGCGGCUUGCUGGACAAAUACUGACGCUGAGGUGCGAAAGCGUGGGGAGCAAACAGGAUUAGAUACCCCAGUAGUCC